rnacentral:tRNA from 1 species
UCCCGGUUAGCUCAGUUGGUUCGAGUGUCAAACUUGCAUUGAGGAGGUCGCGGGUUUAAGUCCCGUACUGGGUA